UGGAAAGAAAGAAGGAAUCCUAUUGACAUUCCCAUUGGUGAAAGUCAGAACAUGAGGGUCUGGAUCACGUCCAGUAACAGAACUAAAUCCAGUCCUGUGUCAGGAUGAUGUAACCACCAGGGGAUUGCAGAUGCCAAGCACAGAUCUGAAGUGAGCUGUUGCUGAUUCCAAUACAUUGAGACUGGCACCGAGGCAGACCCUGAUCAUCUCUGAGGAGCUCAUGCAGAAAACCCAAGGAUAUGUGUGGAGGUGUGGACAGCUGGGAUUGUCUGCUCAUCCACUGGCCUAACUGCCUGAGCCAGCACAAAGGAUGUGCUUCAAUGUUCAGGCUGUAGAUGAUGCCAAGGAAAAUUGAAGUCCAAACCAAGAAGCUGCUUUCACUGGAA
rnacentral:lncRNA from 1 species